ACAUCAGCUAAGAAAAUAAAUAGAUACGUAUAAGAAGAAAAUAUGUAAGAUCUCUCUUCGACAAAUAAAUCAUGAAAAAUGAUAAAAAUCUUUACAUAUACGUCUUAAAAAGUGAGGAUAACAGCCGCAUUUUUUUCUAAUUAUACGGGAUCUACAUUCGGUCAUACACAUUUGGAUUCGAAGAACAACUGUUUGUAUUUCAAGAAUUUGUAAAUGAUGUCUAGUUUUUACGAAUUCAUAGUUGUACGAAUCCAUUGGAUCAAGUAUGCUAAGCUAUAUGUUCAAAAAAUGAAGAUACUCUUAUAUUAAUGAUUAUGAUGUUUCAUUAACUAUUAAUCAAAUAGUUCUAAAAAUUAUCACCGUUACUUCAGCAUCAGUUGUCACUAAUUCUGUUUUUCCAUGAUCUUCAUUUCAGUGCUCUGAUGCUUACUGCAAACUGGCAUAUUGAAGAACUAAGUUCCCUAUAGAAAGACAUAUACCAUUUUCUGUAGCGAUCCAUAUUCCUUUGUCAAUAAAAGUUGUUUCAUAAUAAAAUUCCUUCUUCAAAUCUGACAAAAUUCUAAGCCAUAGUCCUGGCGGUGCAUCAUCGUAAUCAGUUUCAGGGAAGCUCGAAUCCUGGAUUACAUUUAGUGGGCAUAUAAUAAACGACGGUUUAGCAAGCUUGAAGAGUUUAUACUCAUGAUUCCAGUAUAUUGAGAUAGCAUCGUAUUGGUAUCGGUACCAAGAAAUUAUGGA